GAGUUUGAUCAUGGCUCAGAUUGAACGCUGGCGGCAUGCCUUACACAUGCAAGUCGAACGGCAGCACGGGAGCUUGCUCCUGGUGGCGAGUGGCGAACGGGUGAGUAAUGCAUCGGAACGUAUCCUGGAGUGGGGGAUAACGUAGCGAAAGUUACGCUAAUACCGCAUAUUCUGUGAGCAGGAAAGCGGGGGACCUUCGGGCCUCGCGCUCUUGGAGCGGCCGAUGUCGGAUUAGCUAGUUGGUGAGGUAAAGGCUCACCAAGGCGACGAUCCGUAGCAGGUCUGAGAGGAUGAUCUGCCACACUGGAACUGAGACGCGGUCCAGACUCCUACGGGAGGCAGCAGUGGGGAAUUUUGGACAAUGGGGGCAACCCUGAUCCAGCCAUGCCGCGUGAGUGAAGAAGGCCUCGGUUGUAA
rnacentral:rRNA from 1 species